AUACAUUUUGCUUUUGUAUAUCUCUAUGUACAAAUUUUGCAUAAUAAAAAUAACAUAUGUUAUGUGUGUUCAUCUUCUACUCAUAUAUCUGUACGUAUCAAUAAUGCCUUAAAAAUAGGAUAUGCUUGCCACAUUCAAUUUACAGUGUCUACAAAAUGCAUUUCCUUUACCGAUCUGCUAGAACAAACACUACUCAUAUCCAAUGAAUAAAUAGAUGUGGUAUUCCUGUAUGAGCAUACUGAAAAUGAAAACACCUGGUGAUAGCAUUAGAAUUCAAUAUAUCUAAAUCAGAGCACUACAUGUCAGGGAAACUAAAUACCUUCAAUAUGAAAGUUUCUCAAAAUAGUUAUAACACAUUCUGUAUGAACGUAGCAUUUAUCAAUUACAGUACAAGUGUGGAGUCCUCAUUUUAUAUAACAAACAAUUACUGCUUGUUAUUUCUUUUGGCUUCAUUGGCAAACAAUUGUGUAUUUACUAACACUCUUGUUUUUUCUAUACUUCCUAUAACCAUGCUACUACCAAAGCAUACAACUGCAAAUGGGUGCUGAGAAAAGAAAACUAGACCAUAAAGACAUUGACUACAUCCAUAAUACAAGUAAAAAAUUAAGAGCAAUAAGGAAGGAAAAGAUAAAAGAUAAAAGAAUGGCAGAUAAGAGGUAAGCAAAACGCGACAACAGAGCAGUAACAAAAAAAGAAGAAAAGACAAAGAAAAUGAAGAUAUACCUACUAAAAAAAGAUGUCUAAAUAUUGACUCCAAACACUCGUACCUAUCUUCAUCCUAUGGAAUGGUUUUAUUCUCUCCAGAAUACAUAAAGUACCUAAAAGAAUCAUAUCCUGAUAGAUCAUAUUUGGGUGUACCAAAGUACAAAUGCCAAUACUGCAAUGCCAUAUUUUGGUUUGAAGAACCCAACAAAAAAACAUCAGAAGCAUGAUGGUAACCAAAUAACAUACUCUAACUGUUGCAAAUAUGGAAGUAUCAAGAUACCAGCCUUUAGACAACCACCAGAUUUCCUCUUUACACUACUAAAUGACAAAGAAAAUAGUAUGUCAAAACAUUUCAUAGCAAGAAUUAGACAAUAUAAUAACUUACUUGCUUUUACAUCAAUGGGCGGAAAUAUAGAUAAAAAAAUCAAUAGGGGUGAACGCCCUUAUGUUUUUCGAGUAAAUGGUCAGAUACAUCACCAUAUUGGAUCCUUGCUCCCACAAAAGGAUACGGUUCCAAAGUUUGGUCAAUUAUAUAUUUUAUUUCAUACAUUGUACAUACUCAUUGUUUGGACCAAGAGCACAGGAAUUUGACGGGGACACAGUGUAUGAAGUUGGACAAAACUCUCACGUGAUAGCAAUAUUUGUUGGAACUUCUAUGAACUACUACAAGGGAUCACCUCCUUUCUUGAGUGGAACAACUGUAUGUAGAUGGUAUAUCAAUGAAAAUGAUAUCACUGAAAUAAGAGAUUUCUACAAAUGGGUAUAAAGUUUGAGUGCACUGCAGUAAUAAUUCAAGUAGCCCAAAACCAAUAUCGAUGCUAUCCAGCUUGCACAGCUUGUGGCUCAAGAUCAGUUUUUGAUGGAGAAAAAUAUCAUUGUUCCAAGGAUGGUUGCAUAGGCACAACUAUUGAGCAUAGUUAUGUUAUAUAUUCUCUAAGCAAUAGAAUAAUGGAGUCAGUAUAUUUGUAUAGUAUAUUGAGCAUAGGUACAAAGUUUGUCUUAUAGCAAGCGAUACAACAUGGCAGCUGCAAUUCAUGCUAUUCCAAGAUCGAGCAAUGCAGCUGAUUGGUAAACCUGCAGAAAAGUUGCUCACCACAUAUAGGAAAAGCGACAAUCCACUGGAAAUUUCAGCACUUAUUGGUCAGAAAUUCACUUUUAUUGAUCGAGUACUCUCAGAGAAGAAACUUAUUGCUUAUAAUCCAACGUUUGAAGUAGUGAAUAUAAAGAUAGAGAGGCAACCGGCAUCUUGUGCCACCUCAACUUCUGAGGAACACAACCUUCCACCUCUGGUACCUAUUUGUCCCAAGCCAUGGCAAAACAAGUCCUCAUAUUCCAGCAGUCAGCAGAAUUACAAUAUCGAUGAUAGGCAAACUGAACUGACUGAAAUAUUACAAGACAAGACCAUAAGAAAAGCACUGGAUAUAAAGAAUGAAGAACAGCUUGAAGACACACAUAAAAGGAAUAUCUCAGUCCGAGAACCAAAAGGUCACAUACAUAGAUCGAAACCAGUGAUAGAGAUUCAGCGUCACCUUGCCCUCUCAGUCUUCCUUGAGUGUGUCGUCGCCAUCAUCAGUUGCCGCCGUUGGCUAAAAGGUUAUGGAUGUAAUUUUCGAUGCAAAAGAAUUACUCCCUGUGUCUUCUAUUCCUGACAAAGGUAGCUGCUAAUGGUGGAAGCUAACUAGGAUUUACAUCGGCGGGCUCGAUGUGACAUCCUCCCGCCUUCGUAGUUCACGUGGUUUUUAAACUGAUCUUCUAUUCUAAAUUCCACUGCAUGUUGAACUCUAAUAAUUUAUUUAAACUUAUUUUUGUAAAGCUCUGUUUUGUAAAUUAAGUUUGAGAACUUU